GACGAACGCUGGCGGCGUGCCUAAUACAUGCAAGUCGAACGCAGUGGGGACGGGUGAGUAACACGUGGGUAACCUCCCAUCAGAGGGGGUAACACUUGGAAACAGGUGCUAAACCGAUACUGCUGGAUGGACCCGCGGUGCAUUAGCUAGUUGGUGAGGUAACGGCUCACCAAGGCCACGAUGCAUAGGCGACCUGGGAGGUUGAUCGGCCACGCUGGAAAGGAGAGACGGCCCAGAUUCCUACUGGAGGCAGCGGUAGGAAAUCGUCGGUAAUGGACGGAUGUCUGACCGAGCAACGCCGCGGUAAUAC
rnacentral:rRNA from 1 species